rnacentral:rRNA from 1 species
GAUGAACGCUGGCGGCGUACCUAAUACAUGCAAGUCGAGCGAACGGACGAGAAGCUUGCUUCUCUGAUGUUAGCGGCGGACGGGUGAGUAACACGUGGAUAACCUACCUAUAAGACUGGGAUAACUUCGGGAAACCGUAGCUAAUACCGGAUAAUAUUUUGAACCGCAUGGUUCAAAAGUGAAAGACGGUCUUGCUGUCACUUAUAGAUGGAUCCGCGCUGCAUUAGCUAGUUGGUAAGGUAACGGCUUACCAAGGCAACGAUGCAUAGCCGACCUGAGAGGGUGAUCGGCCACACUGGAACUGAGACACGGUCCAGACUCCUACGGGAGGCAGCAGUAGGGAAUCUUCCGCAAUGGGCGAAAGCCUGACGGAGCAACGCCGCGUGAGUGAUGAAGGUCUUCGGAUCGUAAAACUCUGUUAUUAGGGAAGAACAUAUGUGUAAGUAACUGUGCACAUCUUGACGGUACCUAAUCAGAAAGCCACGGCUAACUACGUG